rnacentral:rRNA from 1 species
UACAUAGGGGUUCUGAGAGGAUGAUCCCCCACACUGGUACUGAGGACACGGACCAGACUCCUACGGGAGGCAGCAGUAGGGAAUAUUGGUCAAUGGACGCAAGUCUGAACCAGCCAUGCCGCGUGCAGGAAGACGGCCCUCUGGGUUGUAAACUGCUUUUAUAUAGGAAGAAACCCCUGAAUGCGUUCGGGGCUGCACGGUACUAUAUGAA